GCGGCUACUGCUAUCAGGUUUCGACUAAGCCAUGCGAGUCAAGGGGUCGUAAGACACCGGCGUACUGCUCAGUAACACGCGGACAAUCUACCCCCAGGUGGAGGAUAACCUCGGGAAACUGAGGCUAAUACCCCAUAGUUGUCAUGUGCUGGAAUGCUUUGACGAUGAAAGAAUUUCGCCUGAGGAUGAGUCUGCGGCCUAUCAGGUAGUAUGUGGUGUAAAGGACCACAUAGCCUAAGACGGGUACGGGCCUUGAAAGAGGGAGCCCGGAGAUGGACUCUGAGACACUAGUCCAGGCCCUACGGGGCGCAGCAGGCGCGAAAACUGUGCAAUGCGCGCAAGCGCGACACGGGAAGCCUGAGUGCCUUAACUAUGUUAAGGCUUUUCUUGAUCCUAAAAAGCUCAAGGAAUAAGAGCUGGGUAAGGCGGGUGCCAGCCGCCGCGGUAACACCCGCGGCUCGAGUGGUAGUCACUUUUAUUGAGCCUAAAGCGUUUGUAGCCGGAUUUGUAAAUCUCUAGGAAAAUACUUCUGCUUAACUGAAGAAAUUUUGGAGAGACUGCAAAUCUAGGGACCGGGUGAGGUUGAAUGUACUUCUGGGGUAGGGGUAAAAUCCUGUAAUCCUGGAAGGACGACCGGUGGCGAAGGCGUUCAACUAGAACGGAUCCGACGGUGAGGAACGAAGGCUAGGGGAGCAAACCGGAUUAGAUACCCGGGUAGUCCUAGCUGUAAACACUGCCCACUUGGUGUUGCAUCUCCGGUAAGGGGGUGCAGUGCCGUAGCGAAGGUGUUAAGUGGGCCGCUUGGGGAGUAUGGUCGCAAGGCUGAAACUUAA
rnacentral:rRNA from 1 species